UAUGUACUCUCUCUGUCCCAAAAUUCUUGUCUUAGAUUUGUCUAGAUACGGAUGUAUCUAAUACUAAAACGUGACUUGAUACAUCCAUAUCUAGACAAAUCUAAGACAAAAAUUUUGGGACGGAGGGAAUAGUAC
rnacentral:pre_miRNA from 1 species